AUUAUUCACUUUAUUCUUACCAAUCGGAGUUUUCAGCUAGACUACGGUAUAUCAGCUCCAAUAAACAAUUUGGAGUAGAAAGCUUUCCGCAACAACAUUAACCACCAGAUUUCAUUUCUCUCAGAACAUAUUUAAAAAAUGGAUUUGAGAACAAAAACAAACCCACUGGGCUGCUAUAGGGGACGAAAGACAGCAAAGAAAGACUCGGGUAACAAAACAGCUGUGAAUAUCAAUGUAAGCUUACGAAGGGAAUGGGAUUUAGAACCAACAAGGAAUGAAAAUGAUGCAGCUGUAACACAGGCUCUAACAUCUCACCAUCCUUGACCCAUAAAAAGCCAAAUCUUCCGAACAUCAGAUACCACCACAAAGAAAACGCACGGUCCAUAUUCCUUUCAUUAUUGGAGGAAGAAAAAUGCAAAGCUGAUGGCUUCUUAGGUUCACAAGCUUUCAAUCACACAAAUUCGAAACACACAUUAUAAUCUACGCACAGCUACAAGAUUUAGCCUUUUUACUCACAAAUGAAUCAACAAAUUUUUGAUGAAGAUGAAACAAAAUAGAGGCGGAAAAGUAGGUAGCAAAACAAUAAACUUUCCCCAGGCCAGGUCACGAAAUACAUGCUUGAAGAUUUCAAGAGUAGGUGUUUGAAGAAUAACUUACAGUGCUCGGGCUUCCCUUCCUGGUUUCUAGCUUUCCCAAACUCUCCGAUGGAACCCUCAGCUCUCGUUUCUUUCUAGCCUUUUCUUGCCCAUCUGUUUUUCCUCUCUGAUUCUCAGCCGUCGCCCCCUCACCCCC
rnacentral:lncRNA from 1 species